CUCAGUUCGGAUUGGAGUCUGNAACCCGACUCCAUGAGGCUGGACUCGCUAGUAAUCGCGCAUCAGCCACGGCGCGGUGAAUACGUUCCCGGGCCUUGUACACACCGCCCGUCAAGCCAUGGAAGCCGGGAGUGCCUGAAGUACGCGACCGCAAGGAGCGUCCUAAGGUAAAACCGGUGACUGGGGCUAAGUCGUAACAAGGUACC
rnacentral:rRNA from 1 species